rnacentral:misc_RNA from 1 species
UUUUUUUUUUCCCAGUACCUUUCUUAGGCAGAGGAACUAAAUGCAAGUAGUAGUCUCAGUUAGAUUACAUUUUAAAAAAUUUGUUGGGCUGCUUUUGAAGCUACCUGGUAUUCACAACAUACAUAUUAGUACAACAACAGCUUCAUAAAGUUGCACCAACUUUAUGUUGGGGUAGUCUUUGUAGGCAGACUAAUGCCACCUCCUUUAACAGAAAUAUUAGGACUCUUCACAGAGCUAGCCCGGCUCACUAAGUUCGAGUCCAGGAACACAACCGCUACUGAAAUGUCAUCGUGGAAAUGUCGACGAACUCCACGAUCGAUUUUCUUCAAGUCUGA